CAGUAGCCGCGGUAAUACGUAGGGUGCGAGCGUUAAUCGGAAUUACUGGGCGUAAAGCGUGCGCAGGCGGCUAUGCAAGACAGAUGUGAAAUCCCCGGGCUCAACCUGGGAACUGCAUUUGUGACUGGCAAGCUAGAGUAUGGCAGAGGGGGGUGGAAUUCCGCGUGUAGCAGUGAAAUGCGUAGAUAUGCGGAGGAACACCGAUGGCGAAGGCAGCCCCCUGGGCCAAUACUGACGCUCAUGCACGAAAGCGUGGGGAGCAAACAGGAUUAGAUACCCCUGUAGUCCCUGUCUCUUAUAC
rnacentral:rRNA from 1 species